UGGGGAAUAUUGGACAAUGGGGGGAACCCUGAUCCAGCCAUGCCGCGUGUGUGAAGAAGGCCUUUUGGUUGUAAAGCACUUUAAGCGAGGAGGAGGCUACCGAGAUUAAUACUCUUAGAUAGUGGACGUUACUCGCAGAAUAAGCACCGGCUAACUCUGUGCCAGCAGCCGCGGUAAUACAGAGGGUGCAAGCGUUAAUCGGAUUUACUGGGCGUAAAGCGCGCGUAGGUGGCCAAUUAAGUCAAAUGUGAAAUCCCCGAGCUUAACUUGGGAAUUGCAUUCGAUACUGGUUGGCUAGAGUAUGGGAGAGGAUGGUAGAAUUCCAGGUGUAGCGGUGAAAUGCGUAGAGAUCUGGAGGAAUACCGAUGGCGAAGGCAGCCAUCUGGCCUAAUACUGACACUGAGGUGCGAAAGCAUGGGGAGCAAACA
rnacentral:rRNA from 1 species